UACGGGGGGGGCAAGCGUUGUUCGGAAUUACUGGGCGUAAAGGGCUCGUAGGUGGCCAACUAAGUCAGACGUGAAAUCCCCAGGCUCAACUUGGGAACUGCGUCUGAUACUGGAUGGCUUGAAUUCGGGAGAGGGAUGCAGAAUUCCAGGUGUAGCGGUGAAAUGCGUAGAUAUCUGGAGGAACACCGGUGGCGAAGGCGGCAUCCUGGACCGAGAUUGACACUGAUGAGCGAAAGCUAGGGGAGCAAACGGG
rnacentral:rRNA from 1 species